rnacentral:tRNA from 1 species
GCCGGCGUGGUAGAGUGGUUUAAUACAGCGGUCUUGAAAACCGCCGAUCCGCAAGGGUCCGUAGGUUCGAAUCCUACCGCCGGCG